GCCAGAGAAUGGUGGAGCCAAAUUUUGUUGCAGAGAGUGGAAUAGGGUAGUGGCCAUUGUCAUGACUUGCCAGAGAGUUCAGAUCUGUCGGCUGGAGCUCAGCUGGAAUAUCUGAUGGAGCAGAAUGGCUCUCUACCCCAUCGAUCUAGGAGAAGCUCGAAUGUUUCUGAAGCUGCUGACGAUUCUACUAUUGUCGGAUGCCUCAGGCGCUGAUGCCACAGGCGAGAGUCAUCUGCUGUAGAAGCUCGAAUGGAGA
rnacentral:lncRNA from 1 species